GGUGCCUUUUGAUGUAUUUAAAAUCUAGUAAUAAAAUGAAAAUCCAGCAUUGUUAAAUUAAAAGUCAUGUGUAAAAUCUCAACCUAAUUGCAUAGAAAUGAAAAAACAUGGAAUCAUGCCAAAGCAUAGAAAGAGGUGACGGAUAAUUUCAAUAACAAUGUAAUGGUUCUGAAGCUGACCCUCCAACUAAUUGACCCUUAUGAAACUAAUGUAUUUGAACAAUCCCUAAAAUAGUUGGCUGACAUGAUGAGAAGUACAAUAAUCCAAUUCAGUAAAAAGAAAAAUUUUCAAGUCACUAAUUCCAAUAAUUAACAGAAAAUAAAAGCUUUAUGAAUUCCACAAAGUAGUUUCUUGUCAGAUUCCUACAGAAAAAAAUAUGGAUACCAAUAGAAUUCACUGUGUUCUUAAUUAGAGAAGGAAACACAUUAAAAUACACUAGAUAACAACAUCAAACCCACUUUGAUGAAAGCUCCCCAUAUUUUUUUACCCAAACACUAACCUUCUCCCACUAUAAAUAUUACCAUUACAGAUUAACAAUGCUCACCCUGGCAACAGCUUUCAUUUGGAAGCAGACUAAUUUCAGAAGUUAAAAUGGCACAGAGUAGAAAAUGACAUACUGCAUAUCCUGGGAGAUCAGAUUU
rnacentral:misc_RNA from 1 species